GGAGCCGCCUUUCCCCUGUGGCCCGAGCACCUCCCGGACCCCGCUCUGUUCCUGGGGAUUCGCCCUUCCCACCAGAGCCCCGCCAGAUGGUCAUCUUCAUUUAAAAUGGACUUGGAAGAUUAUCUUCUCUGAGAAGCACUCAGUCCUCCCCCUUGGUGCACAUUCAACAUCAACGCAUAGACCCACCCUAGGGUUCUUGUCCGUUUCCUCAUCUGUCUUCCCUUCCACAGUGUGAGAACCCCACCCAUUGAGGACGGGGGCCAGGGCACACACGAUUCUGGAUUGUGUGAACCAGGUCACAGAAUCAUCCAGUAAGACAUGAAGAGCUGUUGAGGAAGGGGAGAAUACUCAGCCAUUAAGUGUCUCAAAUACUUCAGCCAUUGCAGUGAGCUUCUGUGUUGGCCGCAGCUCUCAGACUAAGGACUAGAGUACAGGUCUUCUGACUUCCGUUGGAGGGAGGAGGCUUGUACAGGAACGCGCAUGAGCUGCAGAUGCGGGUUCAGCUUGUAUUUUUACAACUUACUAACUGCCUCAUCUUAGGCAAGUUACUUCAUCUUUGAGCUUUGCUGUCCUAACUGGGGGGGAAAAAUCCUUGAAGGAACUCAUUCUAAGUGUGGAAAUAAAUAAGUAAUUGCAAAACCAAAUGCCAUCCAGUAUUAGACAUAUAUAUAUAUAUAUACACAUAUAUAUAG